ensembl:lncRNA
AUGCGCCGUUGGUCACCCCUGCUAGCAUGUAGGCAUCACCAGCCUGUAAGGGAUCAUUGCUUUUGUUCUCCGACAGGUCCGAAGUGCCUAGAACAAUGACCUGUAUGUGGGAGAUAUUCAAGAGACAUUUCUUGAAUGAAUACAUGAAUGAAUGAAUGGCUCUCAAGUCAAGCUGCCUGGGUUCACAGUCUGCUCCUGCCGUCAGCUAGAGAUGUGCCGUCUUCCAGGAUCUGGAACUAGCAGGAUCUGGAACCAGCAGGAUCUGGAACUAGCAGGACCUGGAACUAGCAAAUGAUGGACUCCAGUGCCUCUGGGCCUACUUUUCCAGGUAGAGUCUGGCCCUCACCUAUACUGGCAAUGGAAUGUAAUCCAUGCUAACCCCGACAUAUCCCCCCCAGGCUUUCCUUCCUCCAUGCUUCUGUGCAUCCUGUUACCCCUUUUGAAGUGUCCUGCCCACAGUUUUCACCUGCUUAAAAUCCUGCACGUCCUUUGAGGCCCUGCUUCAAUGCUGCCUCCUUCGAGAAGUCUUCAGUCCUGCCUACAGCCAGACGUAAUCGCCCUUCUUGGAACUUCUAUGGGGUUUUGCCUAGAUAUUUUCUUCCCUGUAGGAGGGGACAGUGGGUAGUCCUACAGUCUCCCUGACAGACUCCUGGGUCCCUAAAAGCAGAGGCUAAGAGAGGAGUUUCUUUCUUCUCCUCCCUUCUGUGCUUAGCAAGCUCCCUGCACACCUGAAAUGUCCUUGAAGGCUGAGUGGAUGAAAUCAAUGUGAGAACUGAGAGUCUGACUUUGGGGGUCACCCCUUUCUAGGGCACCCCUUGAAAGCCUGGUCAUGAAGUCAGGUUAAAUUCUAUAUGUACUAGGGGUGCCUGGGUGGCUCAGUCAGUUAAGCGUCCGGCUUCGGCUCAGGUCAUGAUCUCACGGUUCAUGGGUUUGAGCCCCGCGAUGGGCUCUGUGCUGACAACUAGCUCAGAGCCUGGAGCCUGCUUCCGAUUCUGUGUCUCCCUCUCUCUCUGACCCUCCCCUGCUUACACUGUCUCUUUCUGUCUCUCAAAAAUAAAUAAAAAACAUUAAAAUUUUUUUUUAAUUCUAUAUGUACUAAUGAAGUUGCCCUGUGGCAUCCACCAUCCGCUUUGCAAAACGAGUGAUGUGGCAGUGAAUUCUCUCCUCCCAUGUCACAAACGUUUAUUGAGUGGUGUCUUACUCCAGACAUUGUGCCAGGAAUGGCAGAUACAAAGGUGAGCAGGACAAUGACAAUGCUCGUCUUUUCUGGGAACCCACUGUUUGGGCAACGAGGCAUUUAAUAAGAAAUCUACACUUAGUUAGCUGAGAGCUGCCAGAGAGAGCAUAGCAUGUUGGUGCCCAUGCCUUCCUGCAUAAACCAAUCUCCCUUCCUCUCCCUCUCCGAUCCCCCUCUACCACCACCCACUGCCCAGGUCUAGGGACAGGCAGCACCUUUUUCCAGAAACAACCCCAACGCAGCUUGACUUAGCAUUCAAGGUCUGUCUCCCAUCUCACCUUCCUUCAGUAUUUCCUGUUUGGCAAUUUUGCCCCCAGGAGACAUUUGGCAAUGUCCAAAAACAUUUUAGUUGUCACAGCGUGGCGUUGGUGGGGCAUGGGGCUGUGAUGCUCCUGGGAUCUAAUGGGUAGAGGCCAUGGAUGCCCCAGACAAUCUGACAUGUCAGUAGUGCCAAGGUGGUGAAACGCUGCUUUACUUUAUCCCGUAACAACUGCAGGGUGAUUUGUAGGACCUCACACGUGUAGGGAAGGGAACCCGGGGAGUCGCAACACCCACUUUCAAACCCCGGCCUCAUCACCUGCUGGUGUCUUUGGACCCCUGAUUCAUCCUCUGUCGAACGUGGAGAGGCAUGCCUGGCCCCGCCUUCUUGACCAAGGUGUCUGGGAACUGACAUAUGAGAAAGUAAGUGAGA